AUCCUACUGUGAGCCCAUCCUGUUGCGAGCCCAUCCUACUGUGAGCCCAUCCUACUGUGAGCCCAUCCUACUGUGGGCCCAUCCUACUGUGAGUCCAUCCUAUUGUGAGCCAAUUCUACUUUGAGCCCAUCCUACUGUGAGCUCAUCAUGCUAUGAGCCCAAGCUACUGUGAGUCCAUCUUACUGUGAGGCGAUCCUGCUGUGAGCCCAUCCUACUGCCUGCCAUCCUACUCUGAGCCCAUCCUACUGUCAGCCCAUUCUACUCUGAGCACAUCCUACUAUCAGCCCAUUCUACUCUGAGAUCAUCCUACUGUCAGCCCAUCCUGCUCUGAGCCCAUCCUACUCUAAGUCUAUCCUGCUGUGAGCCCAUCCUACCAUGAGCCCAUCCUGCUAUAAUCCCAUCCUACUGUGAGCCCAUCUUACUGUGAGCCCAUUCCGCCAUAAGUCCAUCCUCCUGUGAGCCCAUCCUCCUAUAGCACAUCCUACUGCGAGGCAUGCUACUUUUAGCCCAUCAUAAUGUGAGCCCAUCCUACUGUUAGCCCAUCCUGCUGUGAGUCCAUCCUACUGUGAGCCCAUCCUGCUGUGACACCAUCCUACUGUGACACCAUCCUACUGUGAGUCAACCCUAAUGUGAGCCCAUUCUGCUCUGAGCCCAUCCUACUCUGAGCCCAUCCUAUUGUAAGACUAUCCUGCUGUGAGCCCAUCCUACCAGGAGCCCAUCCUACUGUGAGCCCAUCCUACUGUGAGCCCAUCCUACUGUGAGCCCAUCCUACUGUGAGCCCAUCUUGCUGUGAGCCCAUCCUACUGUGAGCCCAUCCUACUGUGAGCCCAUCCUACUGUGAGCCCAUCCUACUGUGAGCCCAUCUUGCUGUGAGCCCAUCCUACUGUGAGCCCUCCUAUUCUGAGCCCAGCCUAAUGUGAUCUCAUCCUGCUGUGGGCCCAUCCUACUGUGAGUCCAUCCUGCUAUGGUUUUCAUGGGAAGGAAUGGAGAAGGGUGAAGGAAGGAAGGAGGUAUAUAUGGAAGGAAAGGACCUGGGAGUGAGGGAAGGGGAACAGAGUGUGGGGCGUAGGAGGUGGGAGGGAGGGAGAGAUGGGGAAGGAAGGCAAGCAAACAGCUCAUUUGAGAGGUGACAGAGCCCUGCAUGAGUAAAUAGAGAGUCAAGACACAGUCCUAGCCACGGUGGCUCAGGAAAGGUGAGUUACCUGCCAUGUCUCUGCAAAUAGCUGGCACUCAUCCCAAAGGGAUUUUUCUCUGGCACCUAUAAAGCCCACCCUGCGUGUCCAAGAAGAGGGGAUUUCAUUAAUGAGUUACAGGUUCUGCCCUCAAGAGAAACUGAGCGGCCCAUCUGAAGUGGAUUCGUGGGACGUCGAUGGACAGAUGGACAGACAAAGGCCACCUAGCGGGAUUUUUCAUAAGCAAGUUUCCACAGCAAGCCAGGAGCUGUCUUAGUUAGGAUUUUACUGCUGUGAACAGACACCAUGAUCAAGGCAAGUCUUAUAAAAAACAACAUUUAAUUGGGGCUGGCUUACAGGUUCAGAGGUUCAGUCUGUUAUCAUCAAGGCAGGAGCAUGGAAGCAUCCAGGCAGGCAUGGCACAGGCAGAGCUGAGAGUUCUAUGUCUUCAUCGAAAGGCUACUAGUGGAAGACUGACUUCCAGGCACCUAGGGUGAGAGUAUUAAGCCCAUACCCACAGUGAC
rnacentral:lncRNA from 1 species